UACGUAGGAUGCAAGCGUUGUCCGGAAUUAUUGGGCGUAAAGAGCGCGCAGGCGGUCUGCCAAGUCAGAUGUGAAAGAGGCCGGCUUAACCGGCAAGGGUCAUUUGAAACUGACAGACUAGAGUGCAGCAGAGGAUAGCGGAAUUCCCGGUGUAGUGGUGAAAUGCGUAGAUAUCGGGAGGAACACCAGUGGCGAAGGCGGCUAUCUGGGCUGCAACUGACGCUGAGGCGCGAAAGCGUGGGGAGCAAACAGG
rnacentral:rRNA from 1 species